UGUGAUAUGGUGAAUUAGACUUUUAAGUAU
rnacentral:piRNA from 1 species